UUUGUUCACUGCCGUGUUCUGUAGUAAAGCAAAAGCUCUAUAUAACUAAAAUAUCCAACCCAAAAAGAUUGUCUGAAAAAUGGUGGUUCAUCAACAUGCAGCCUUUUAAAAAAUGACCAUUUUUCAGGGUAUUUAUAAGCAUCAAAAUAUUUUAUGAUAUAAAAAUUUAAAAGCAGACUGCAAAACCGUAUGUAGGAUAUGAUUGCAACAGCACGGGGAUGUUCAUAUAUGGCCACAGAAUGGAAGACAUGGAAAAAUGAAAAUCAUUUUUAUAUUAGGAGGGUGGGGUUAUGAGUAUUUCCUCAAAAAUUUGCUCAUGUUAUUACGUUGUUUUUAAAAGAAAACAGUCUUGGAAGCUAUGAUUUACUGUUUCUCUGUCUUUGGUGUAUAUCUCACCAUCUUUCUGACCUGUAAUCAUCAGAAGAGUCACUGGAAAACGCUUCUCCCACCGAGUGUGCUCAGCUGAUUAGAUAACAUAGCUCACAUUUAUGCAGACUUUGUGGCUAAAGUCUAAGGAAGAGGAGAAGGAGGUAGGACCAUCUUUCACCCAUCUUGAAACAGGAAGUCCUUUGUUGAACUAUUUUCUAGUGUUUCUCAAAGCAAGAAGACUGGCAGAAGAGGACAGAGGCCAGUGGAAGAAGGUCAGCGCACCAGAAGCUGCGAAUUUGCCUCAUGUUUAUUUUCAAGACUGUGUUAUUGUAAGCGACAGUCACACAACCAGUAUAACGAGUAAGCACAGGAUUUCUUCGUGCUGGGAGCGCAGUCUAGCACAUUUCACAAACCUUUCUUGAGUCAGAAAUUUCUCUACUGCAGGUGAAAUGCCUCUGGAUUUUCAGUUGUCUUGGAAGGAGUUCCAUAUCAGCACAAAAAGAGACAUGUCUUUCUGGGUCUUCUCCAUCUCAAACUCCUAAAACCUGACGACAUCUGAAACACAGAGUGAAGAAGUUCUUGGAAAGUCAGGUAGCGUGUAUUGACAGGAAAACCUCAAAAGCUAGAGUUUAAAGUGACUGUCCCAAGUAAUCAAUAAAACUUGGCAAACAAAUUGGCA
rnacentral:lncRNA from 1 species